rnacentral:lncRNA from 1 species
AAACGAUGUUUGGGCACCACCUCCUUAUGGUGCAUCACAUCAUAAUGUGCAGUUUUCUGAUGAUCAUAUGAAGGUUCACGAGGUACAUCAGGAACCAGGGGAUUAUUCAUCUCAGCAGCUAUCUGCAAACGAUGAAUGGCCGUUAAUUAAGCAGCCAUCAGCUGCUAGCCAGCCUGCUGUCUCGGAGCCUCCCACUGAUUUCGUGCAACAUCCUGAUCCAUCUGAUGAAUGAUGAAUGGCCGUUAAUUGAGCAGCCAUCAGCUGCUAGCCAGCCUGCUGUCUCGGAGCCUCCCACUGAUUUUGUGCAACAUCCUGAUCCAUCUGACGUGUCAUUUGACA